UGGGGAAUAUUGCACAAUGGGCGCAAGCCUGAUGCAGCCAUGCCGCGUGUGUGAAGAAGGCCUUCGGGUUGUAAAGCACUUUCAGCGGGGAGGAAGGCGUUAAGGUUAAUAACCUUGGCGAUUGACGUUACCCGCCGAAGAAGCACCGGCUAACUCCGUGCCAGCAGCCGCGGUAAUACGGAGGGUGCAAGCGUUAAUCGGAAUUACUGGGCGUAAAGCGCACGCAGGCGGUUUGUUAAGUAAGAUGUGAAAUCCUCGGGCUCAACCUGGGGACUGCAUCUGAUACUGGCAAGCUUGAGUCUCGUAGAGGGGGGUAGAAUUCCAGGUGUAGCGGUGAAAGGCGUAGAGAUCUGGAGGAAUACCGGUGGCGAAGGCGGCCCCCUGGACGAAGUAUGACGCUCAGGUGCGAAAGCGUGGGGAGCAAACAGG
rnacentral:rRNA from 1 species